GGUCCCAUAGUACAACGGAUAGUAUGUAGGUUUCCGGAACCUAAGAUCCAAGUUCGAUUCUUGGUGGGACCA
rnacentral:tRNA from 1 species